rnacentral:rRNA from 1 species
AACGAACGCUGGCGGCAUGCCUAACACAUGCAAGUCGAACGAGACCUUCGGGUCUAGUGGCGCACGGGUGCGUAACGCGUGGGAACCUGCCCUUAGGUUCGGAAUAACUCCCCGAAAGGGGUGCUAAUACCGGAUAAUGUCUUCGGACCAACGAUUUAUCGCCUUUGGAUGGGCCCGCGUUGGAUUAGCUAGUUGGUAGGGUAAAAGCCUACCCAGGCGACGCUCCAUAGCUGGUCUGAGAAGAUGAUCAGCCACACUGGGACUGAGACACGGCCCAGACUACUACGGGAGGCAGCGGUGGGGAAUAGUGGACGAUGGGCGGCAGCCUGAUGCAGCCAUGCCGCGUGAGUGAUGCAGGCCUUAGGGUUGUAAAGCUCUUUUACCCGGGAUGAUAAUGACAGUACCGGGAGAAUAAGCUCCGGCUAACUCCGUG